ensembl:lncRNA
GCAGUUAGUGUGCAGUUAGUGUGUAGUUAGUGUGCAGUUAGUGUGUAGUUAGUGUGCAGUUAUUGUGUAGUUAGUGUGUAGUUAGUGUGUAGUUAGUGUGUAGUUAGUGUGUAGUUAGUGUGUAGUUAGUGUGUAGUUAGUGUGCAGUUAGUGUGCAGUUAGUGUGUAGUUAGUGUGUAGUUAGUGUGCAGUUAGUGUGCAGUUAGUGUGCAGUUAGUGUGUAGUUAGUGUGCAGUUAGUGUGCAGUUAGUGUGUAGUUAGUGUGCAGUUAGUGUGUAGUUAGUGUGCAGUUAGUGUGCAGUUAGUGUGCAGUUAGUGUGUAGUUAGUGUGUAGUUAGUGUGUAGUUAGUGUGUAGUUAGUGUGUAGUUAGUGUGUAGUUAGUGUGUAGUUAGUGUGCAGUUAGUGUGCAGUUAGUGUGUAGUUAGUGUGUAGUUAGUGUGUAGUUAGUGUGUAGUUAGUGUGUAGUUAGUGUGUAGUUAGUGUGUAGUUAGUGUGUAGUUAGUGUGUAGUUAGUGUGUAGUUAGUGUGUAGUUAGUGUGCAGUUAGUGUGCAGUUAGUGUGUAGUUAGUGUGUAGUUAGUGUGUAGUCAGUGUGUAGUUAGUGUGUAGUUAGUGUGUAGUUAGUGUGCAGUUAGUGUGUAGUUAGUGUGUAGUCAGUGUGUAGUUAGUGUGUAGUUAGUGUGUAGUUAGUGUGUAGUCAGUGUGUAGUUAGUGUGUAGUUAGUGUGUAGUUAGUGUGCAGUUAGUGUGUAGUUAGUGUGUAGUCAGUGUGUAGUCAGUGUGUAGUCAGUGUGUAGUUAGUGUGUAGUGAGUGUGUAGUGUAGUCAAUAGUGUUGUGUGUCAGAACAACGAGGCGCCUGCUGAGUGUUACAGGUGUUACAGCAGUGACACAUCUGCUGCUGUCAGGCCUGCAGGUAUCAGGCUGUUGUUCUCCUUCAUCUCAUAGUGGACACAAAUUAUUUUUUGUGACACAAAUAAUUUGUGUGGCAUCAGAUUUGAUGCAGAACAGCUGAUUGUUCUGUAAAUAGUUUGAAAUGUUUGUUUAAAAACGCCUUGGCUGCAUUUUCA